CUGGGGUUCUGGGGUGGGGAUGGUAGAUGAUGAAUUCUGGCAUCUAGGCUGGUACUCCAGUAGUCACUUGGGCUCUUUGGAUCUGUAGUGGGGCUAUGUUUGUCUCUGGUUGUAAAUAAAGACUUGCUCAGUUUACUUAAAAGAGGCUCCCUCAUCCCUCACAACCCUUCUUGGGAAGGACUAGAGAAAUCAGGGGCUUAUUUAAUGUAACAUAAUUUAAAGAAGGGCUUCCUUGGUGGCUUAGAUGGCAAAGCACCCGCCUGCAAUGCAGGAAACCUGGGUUUGACUCCUGGGUUAGGAACAGCCCCUGGAGAAGAGAAUGGCAACCCACUCUAGUAUUCUUGCCUGGAGAAUUCUGUGGACAAGGGAGCCUGGCGGGCUACAGUCCAUGGGGUUGCAAAGAGUUGGACACAACUGAGCAACUAACACACACACACACAAUUUAAAGGAACAUACAAUAUCCCUUUAAGAUGCACAGAAUUUGAGUGCCAAAUGCUGUACCUUGAGCAGUCUGGUUUUAUUCCUGUGCAGGUUUUCACAGGGUGUUAUUGGAGGGUUGCAGCAGAAAGUUUAUAGUUUUUUCUUUAAUCCUUGCAAAGUGGCAGGACUCGCAUUGGAGUGUGAAAGGAAUCAGAUACUUAUAAUUAUUUUUACCUAUUUGGAUCAGGUCUGCAAAACGAUACAGAAAGCCAGCAAGCUGUUUAAAUUGCUACAUGAUGCAGGAAAAAGAACUGGUUUUACUUCUAUGGAAAACCCUGUCAUUCACCUGUUGAGACUCUGGAUAAUUUCAAGUGAUUCUUGGAGGUUUCUUCUCAAUAUAUUUGCCAGUUCUCUCCACAAAAAAAUGUAGGGAGGAUAAGAAGAUAGUAUCAGGAAAAAUAAAUCACAUUCCUUUAAAAUAUUUUUUUCCUACGUCUAUUUCUAAUGCCAAUAAUAGAAAUUAUGUGGAAGAAAUGUUAAUAAGUGUGGCUUGAUGGCUUUAUGUGUUUGAUGGGCUCCCUGAUGCCCUCAUGAAAUCAGGUUGCCAAAAACAAACCGGGGAAACAGGGAAGUGUAGAACACAGAGAUGAGUAUCAGAGAACUCCAUGCUAUUUCUAAGGAUGUGUAUGAUUUAUGAAAAACACUGUUAAGGUUUUUGGAGUGUGGUAUCUCCAUUUCCACUUCUGUAAGUGUGGAUGAGUUAGAUGAAGACUGUAACACACAGCUGGAACAUGGCAGGAUACUUGACAGCUAGAAGGACCACCCCAGUCCAGCUGCCUUCCUAGCUGGGUUGGAGAAGGGAAUUGAGACUGGGGGUAGAGGAGGGGGUGGGGAUGGAGUGCAAUUUGAGAAAAUCAAUGGGAAGAUUAGUUGAGAGUGAUAGAGAAUCCCAAAUAACCUUUGACACAGACACUACCUUUUUGUCAAGUGAUAAACACAGUCAUGGGGAAGGUACUGCCCUGUUGAAUGUAUAUUGCUAACUUCAUUGAUUUUACUUUCAUUCUGGUACAUCUUAUUUUGGUAAAUAUCAUAAAUCAGUCUUCAUUCUAAACAUGAUUCAUGUAAAAUGGUUCACAUAGGGUAGGAAGCUGAACUGAUCUACGCAAGUGAGAGGUUAGGAAAAUAAAUGUCUAUCUAGGAAAUAUAUAUUAUUUCCUCUGUAUUAAACUGCUUAAUGAAAGGUGUGAACAUAGCUUUGAACAUGGCUUCUUGUUCUGUUUCUUAAUCCUGUGAAAGAGAGACAGUGUACGGUUGGGCAUGAACUUGAAUCAACUGAUCUAGAUUUGAAUCCCAAAUCUAGUAUUGAUUAGCCAUUUGAUCCUAAGAAUGCUGCUUAGGAUCAUGCUUUUUUCAGUCUUAGUGUAACUGCAAGGAUUAAAUGAGAUGAUGGAUCAAAAAUGCUUUCAAUUUUUUGUCUAUAAUCUGUAGCAGGAAAUACAUUUUUUUUGCAUCACUAGAUAAUGUACCCAAAUGUACACACAGAGAGAAACAUACAACUUUAACAAACAUUUCAUGAAGCGAUGGUCACCCUUACUAUGUGUAAUAUACACUGAUAUUUUCUGUUCCAUUCUACUGCAUAUUUUAAGAAAUUCUGGUCAUGAUCCACUAAGUUAAUUUUACAAUUCGUCAAUGAUUUAGGACCCACAGUAAGAAAAACCAGAUUUGAUACUUAGCACAGUGACUGGUAUACAGUCAUUGUUCUAUAAGGAAUAAACAUUGCACUUAGGAGGGAAUGAUGUCAUGUAAUAGGUUUAUUGAGGUAUAAUUCUUUGGCUAGAGGAAGUUGUAAUAAAAAUGCUAAAGUUUCUUAAUGAGAGUAGCGCCAAGGUUGCCAAUAUGAUAUAAAGCACUUUCCCCUCUUCCUCUUCUUUCUGAUUAAGGCACAUCAUUGAAGACCAGAGACAAACAAGUUGGAAAAACUGAAAACAAAACAUCAUUCCUUUUUCCUUAGCAUAAUUUAAUUAAAAUUUCUUAACCUAAAGCUUGAUUUCAGAAUGAUUAAUAUUGACAACUUUGGAAAAUAAAUACUCAAAGGAGGAAAGCAGAAAGGAUGCUGUUUGUACACAACUAAAGCACAUUUAACUAGCAGCAGUGAAGGUGAGGCCUGAUGAAUUUCUAUCCAAUAGCUGACUGUGGAGCAUCAUUUUCUCCUCUCUUUUCUUCUUCAGAAACAAGGAGAAAAUUCAGGGUAAAAAAAAUGUAAGUAUACUUGGCAUACAAGGUUUCUGUUGCUACUGUGGCAAAUUGCCAUAAAUGCAGAUAUUUACAAUUCAAAUUUCUUAUCUUACUGUUUUCAUGGGUUGGAAGUCCAAGUGUAUCAUGGCUCAGUUGGUUCUUUGGCUCUGGGUAUCACAGGCUGAAUAAUGUGUUGGCAGGGCUGUGUUACUUUUUUGGAGACUUUGGGAUUGGAUCUCUUCUAAGCCGAUUCAGGCUGUUGGACCAGUUUGGUUCUUUGGGGUUGAAGGACUGAGGUAUGUUUACUUGCUGGCUGUCAGCGAGGGAGGCAGGCAGACUUUGCUCCUAGAGGCUGCCUACAGUCCUCCUCAAGCUGUCCAUAUGGCUCAACAGAAGUUGAGUUCCUCUCACUGUUUGAAUCUCUCUGACUUCCCUUUGUGCCACAUUUCUCAUCCCAGCAGAAGAAUUUUUUCUGCUUUUAAGGGUUCAUGUAAUUAAAUUGGGCCCACACAGAUAAUUCAGGACCAUCUCUAUAUCUUGAGGUCUAUAACCAUUAUAUCUGCAAAGUCUCUUUGUAAUAUACCAUAUUCACAAAAUCCGGAGAAGUGUGGGCAUCUUUGGUGGGGAUUUGGGAGAGGGUAUUAUUUGCCUGCUAUAUUUGGUUUGGAAAUUAUUUUCUCUGUAGAGAAGAAAUUUUAUUGCUGUCAGAGUUUUCAUGGCUCUUAGAGUUACUGAAUAAAUCAUAAAAUUAUAGGAUUUUAGAGGGGGACAGCAUUCAGGAACUUCAACUUCCUCAUUUCACAAUGAGGAAACCAAACAGAAUUACUUGCUUAGUCUCACAGGAGGUUGGUGAAAGUGUUAGCGGGGCAAUCCAUGAUUCUAGACUUCUGGUCCUUUUUCAUGGCUCAGACAUUCAGAAAUGCUGAUGAAUUAUAUUCCUGGGAAGGUGGAUCUUGGGGAAGAAAUAAAUUAAAAGUUAGCAAUGGGGAAGCUAGGCUUUUUGUUUUUCUCCCUCUCCUGAUCUGACUCCUAGGAAGCAUUUGCAAAGAAAAAUUCUGAAGCUUUAAGGAAUUAUUUUAUAUCAUCCUAGAAUCGUGGAAAAAUUUAAAAGCCUUUCUACUUAAAAAUACCAGGGUUCUUAAAAAUUUCUCAUCCAGUUACUUUAGAUGAAAAAUGUUUAUUUUUCUUCUUUUUAAUAUGGUGUUAAUAUCAUUGUUUCUGAGGUUAGCAAAGCCUGAGAGAAUGAGGAAUAAAAGGAGUGAAAGAGGAUGAAAAGAGAGCCUAAAACCAUCAAUUUCAGGGGCCUCUAAAAUGGAAUUCUCACUGCUAUGCUUUUGCAGUCUCAGGCUGAGAUGAAUACACAAGACCAGUACUGGUUUACUCUUUGUUAAUAUCAGUGGAAGCUGGAAAGCAGUUCUAUCUAUCUAUUGAAAUUUAUCUAUCAAUUAUUCUUUCAUUCCUACUUCUUUCACUCUUCAUUUACUGAGGUCUUGUUAUAUGUCUAGUGCUAUGCUAAGGGCUGUGAUACAUUGAGGAAUAAGAUAAGGCAUCUGUCUUUAAAAGAUCAUAGUUUAGCCAGAGAGACAGAUAUAGGAACAGAUAUAAUAGCAUGUUGUCCCAGAAUUGUGACUAAAACCCCAAUAUGAAAGUAAAAGGCUCAAAGAGCCCUACUUCUUUGGCAGAGGGGAGUCAGACAGUUCCUUCUGGGGCUUCCUAGGAGGCGGUAGAACUUCCAGCCGUGAUCCUGGUGCCACACCAAGGAUGAAAGGUGGAUUCUUUACCACUGAGCCAUCUGGGAAGCCCUUUGGUCAAUGGGACAGUAUCAAACAUGAGACCUCCAAGCCUGCAACAUGUGUGUACAAGGCCAUCCUAGAUGAUCUACCCCCGACUGGAAAGAUUCACCAAGUCAGCAGAAAAACCACACUGAUGACCCAGAGAAUUAUGAUAAAUAAUAAAUGUUUUGCU
ensembl:lncRNA